rnacentral:rRNA from 1 species
UGGUAAUGCCGGAUGCUCCGACUCCUCGCAUGGGGUGUCGGGAAAGAUUUCAUCGGUAUGGGAUGGGGUCGCGUCCUAUCAGGUAGUCGGCGGGGUAACGGCCCACCGAGCCUACGACGGGUAGCCGGCCUGAGAGGGCGACCGGCCACAUUGGGACUGAGAUACGGCCCAGACUCCUACGGGAGGCAGCAGUGGGGAAUAUUGCACAAUGGGCGCAAGCCUGAUGCAGCGACGCCGCGUGCGGGAUGACGGCCUUCGGGUUGUAAACCGCUUUUGAUCGGGAGCAAGCCUUCGGGUGAGUGUACCUUUCGAAUAAGCACCGGCUAACUACGUGCCAGCAGCCGCGGUAAUACGUAGGGUGCAAGCGUUAUCCGGAAUUAUUGGGCGUAAAGGGCUCGUAGGCGGUUCGUCGCGUCCGGUGUGAAAGUCCAUCGCUUAACGGUGGAUCUGCGCCGGGUACGGGCGGGCUGGAGUGCGGUAGGGGAGACUGGAAUUCCCGGUGUAACGGUGGAAUGUGUAGAUAUCGGAAAGAAACACCA